rnacentral:rRNA from 1 species
UAGGGAAUCUUCGGCAAUGGACGAAAGUCUGACCGAGCAACGCCGCGUGAGUGAAGAAGGUUUUCGGAUCGUAAAACUCUGUUGGUAGAGAAGAACGUUGGUGAGAGUGGAAAGCUCGUCAAGUGACGGUAACUACCCAGAAAGGGACGGCUAACUACGUGCCAC